GCGCCCGUAGCUUAACUGGAUAAAGCGCGAUCCUGACGAAAUCGACGAUGUCAGUUCGAAUCUGACCGGGCGCA
rnacentral:tRNA from 1 species